rnacentral:tRNA from 1 species
AGGAAUUUAGGCUAAACAAGAGACCAAGGGCCUUCAAAGCCCUCAGUGGGAGUGGAACCCUCCCAAUCCCUG